AGUCGAACGCUUCUUUUUCCACCGGAGCUUGCUCCACCGGAAAAAGAAGAGUGGCGAACGGGUGAGUAACACGUGGGUAACCUGCCCAUCAGAAGGGGAUAACACUUGGAAACAGGUGCUAAUACCGUAUAACAAUCAAAACCGCAUGGUUUUGAUUUGAAAGGCGCUUUCGGGUGUCGCUGAUGGAUGGACCCGCGGUGCAUUAGCUAGUUGGUGAGGUAACGGCUCACCAAGGCCACGAUGCAUAGCCGACCUGAGAGGGUGAUCGGCCACAUUGGGACUGAGACACGGCCCAAACUCCUACGGGAGGCAGCAGUAGGGAAUCUUCGGCAAUGGACGAAAGUCUGACCGAGCAACGCCGCGUGAGUGAAGAAGGUUUUCGGAUCGUAAAACUCUGUUGUUAGAGAAGAACAAGGAUGAGAGUAACUGUUCAUCCCUUGACGGUAUCUAACCAGAAAGCCACGGCUAACUACGUGCCAGCAGCCGCGGUAAUACGUAGGUGGCAAGCGUUGUCCGGAUUUAUUGGGCGUAAAGCGAGCGCAGGCGGUUUCUUAAGUCUGAUGUGAAAGCCCCCGGCUCAACCGGGGAGGGUCAUUGGAAACUGGGAGACUUGAGUGCAGAAGAGGAGAGUGGAAUUCCAUGUGUAGCGGUGAAAUGCGUAGAUAUAUGGAGGAACACCAGUGGCGAAGGCGGCUCUCUGGUCUGUAACUGACGCUGAGGCUCGAAAGCGUGGGGAGCAAACAGGAUUAGAUACCCUGGUAGUCCACGCCGUAAACGAUGAGUGCUAAGUGUUGGAGGGUUUCCGCCCUUCAGUGCUGCAGCUAACGCAUUAAGCACUCCGCCUGGGGAGUACGACCGCAAGGUUGAAACUCAAAGGAAUUGACGGGGGCCCGCACAAGCGGUGGAGCAUGUGGUUUAAUUCGAAGCAACGCGAAGAACCUUACCAGGUCUUGACAUCCUUUGACCACUCUAGAGAU
rnacentral:rRNA from 1 species